GCCCGCGCCCGCGGGGCUCCAUGCCGGGCCGCCCGCCCUCCCCGCCGCUGCCACCGCCUCCCCUGAGCCUGCGGGCGGCGCGGAGGCCGAGGAGCGGUCGCUGCAGCGCAUGCUGCGCGCCAUAGCCGAGGAGCGCGGCCGCCUCAGCCUGCGCCGUGAGGUCUGCGGCCUCGGGUGCUUCAAGGAUGACCGCAUCGUCUUCUGGACUUGGAUGUUCUCUACUUACUUCAUGGAGAAAUGGGCGCCGCGGCAGGACGACAUGCUUUUCUAUGUGCGCCGGAAGCUGGCGUACCCGGGCAGCGAGGGCAGCGUGGACGGGAGGAAGCUGGCUGAGGCUGAGCCCGAGGUGGAGGUAGAGGUGUACCGGCGUGACUCCAAGAAGCUGCCGGGCCUUGGAGACCCUGACAUCGACUGGGAGGAGAGCGUCUGCCUGAACCUCAUCCUGCAGAAGCUGGACUACAUGGUGACCUGUGCCGUGUGCACACGCGCUGAUGGGGGGGACAUCCACAUCCAUAAGAAGAAAUCCCAGCAAGUGUUUGCGUCCCCCAGUAAACACCCCAUGGACAGCAAGGGAGAAGAAUCCAAGAUCAGCUACCCCAACAUCUUCUUCAUGAUCGACAGCUUCGAGGAGGUGUUCAGCGACAUGACGGUGGGGGAGGGGGAGAUGGUCUGCGUGGAGCUGGUGGCCAGUGACAAAACCAACCUGUUCCAAGGGGUCAUCUUUCAGGGCUCCAUCCGCUAUGAGGCACUCAAGAAGGUGUAUGACAACCGAGUGAGUGUGGCUGCCCGUAUGGCACAGAAGAUGUCAUUCGGCUUCUACAAGUACAACAACAUGGAGUUUGUGCGCAUGAAGGGGCCCCAGGGCAAGGGUCAUGCGGAGAUGGCAGUCAGCCGCGUGUCUACUGGUGACACGUCCCCCUGUGGGACCGAAGAGGAUUCCAGCCCGGCUUCACCCAUGCACGAGCGGGUGACCUCCUUCAGCACGCCCCCCACUCCAGAGCGGAACAACCGGCCCGCAUUCUUCUCCCCAUCCCUCAAGAGGAAGGUGCCCCGGAACCGGAUCGCUGAGAUGAAGAAGUCUCACUCGGCCAAUGACAGUGAGGAGUUCUUCCGGGAGGACAGCGGCAGGGCGGAUCUGCACAAUGCCACCAACCUGCGGUCUCGGUCCCUGUCUGGCACGGGGCGGUCCCUGGUUGGGUCCUGGCUGAAGCUGAACAGAGCGGAUGGAAAUUUCCUUCUCUAUGCACACUUGACCUACGUCACUUUGCCGUUGCAUCGGAUUUUAACAGACAUCCUGGAAGUGCGGCAGAAGCCCAUCCUGAUGACCUAGCCGUGUGCAGAGCCUGCGCAGAGCCCCCCAGCCCUGCCCGGCCCUGGGGGUGCUGCCAAGUGCCUAGCUGUCCACCACCACCGGGGUCUUCUGUGACAACCCAGCGCCGACGCCGGAGCCCGGCGGGGCCGCUCGACUCCUGGGGCCAGGGCCGACUCCACGAACACCAGCCCAAACUGAAGUGCCUCUUCCUCCUCCCCUGCUGGCUCUGCUCCUGCCCCUGUGCCCGCCGUCCCGGCCCCCCCCCCCCCCCGCCCAUCUCUGGAGCGUCCUCUGCACCCCCAGAGGACCAGAGAGGCCGAGAGGCUGUAAGAGAGAGCAGAGGAGCAGCCAGGGUCCAGAGCGUGUCCAGACCCGCUAACCCGACGUCCACACUCAGACCGCAGGUGGAGAGACCACCCAGUUGGGGGCACCCAGAGUGUCAGCGUGUCGACGCCUUCCCAAGGAGAACUGGCUCACGGUUUCGUGCUGCUGCACCCAUGAACUUGAGCGUCCGAGUUAGUCCCGACUUGUCCGCCUUCCCUUGUUUACCGCUUGGUUACAAAUGGGUUGCCUCGGGGAGAUGGGGCACGCAGCUGUCUGAGGGCUUUGCCCUGGGCUGGGAAUACCUCACCCCACGCCUGGUUCCAGAAAGGCCUCGAGCUGAGCAGACAGGCCCCGAUCCUGCCAGAAUGGCCUUUGCUUCCAGCCAAAGAGCUCCACCAAUACUCACACCUCCACCCUGGAGACACCCCGCUCUGCGCCUCGGCCGGCGUGACCCACAGAAUCUGGACUCUGAGGGCAGGAAUCCUUUCUCCCUGGUCAUCCGGGGUCUGAAGACUCUGGAACUCAGGUCUUGGGAGAAAUACGGUCCCGGUGUAUCUUCCACGGAAGGAGGGGGUAGUCGAACGGACGCAGGACGGCGGCCCUCCCUCUGUUCUCAGAGGUUGAGGAGCACGAAAGGGCCCCCCCAAUGGAACCAAGCCCCGGGGCUCAGCCACGGCUGCCGGCGGGGCCGCGGGCACGUCAGACGCCGCCUCUGGGAAACGACAAACCGGAGUCACAGGGCACCCGAGGGCCGGUGUGACGUGCGCGAGUGCUUCGCCGGUCUCAGGAAGCGUGCGCCACGGAGCGGUUCUAGGGAUGACGCCUCAUUUGUACCACGUGCGAACCACGUGCACGAUGGCUUGGCUGUUUCCGGUCCCGCACUGAGGCAGCACUCGGCCUGCCCAGGCUCGGUGCUGAGGGGCACGUACGUCGCCGUCCCCAGCCUCGGGCUCGGGCUCGGCCAGCGGCCCACCCACGCGUCCGCAACACUGCUGCCCUGGGACAGACGGACGCGCGUGGUGGCGUCCGCCCUUCGAGGUCUUUCCCUCUUCCAGAGGUUACUUCUGGGACUGAAUUUUUAAACACGCUUUUUUGAGAGGCACUUGGGCACUAGGCAGUAAGCUGUCACCCUGAGGUUCAUUUUUUUCGAAGUGAUAAAGGACAUCAGUAACAGAGUAAUAGAAUAACAAGUGACGGGGCCAAGCCCAGCACCCGUGUCCUGGAGUGUCCGGCUGUCACUUCUCAUAAGGCCAUCUUUAACUUUUCUGGAAACACGCCUGUCUCUCGUGUACUGCAGGGAAGACCGAAGCACGCGCACAUUUCUUCAGUGGGAACUGGAAUCAAAGUACGGUUUUUCUGUGAAGACCCUGCGGUGUCACUUUUUAGGACAUGUAUGAGAAAGCAAGCUCUCUUUUUCUGAGAAAUGUCACGGUCCUAGCGUCUGAUGGGCGGCAUGUCGCCUCUAGUCCACCUUCAGCGCCUGCAGGCUGAGGGGGCAUUCGGUCUCACACGCCGAGGUCUUCCAGGAAUUUCCAGUUGCUUGUAGAGAUAGCCGAGGCUCAGUAUCUCAGAAGAAUAUUCCCAAGUGACAGGGAAGUAGUCCACAGAGAACAAAAUCUUCCCCAGCCCAGUGAGUUUGGAGAUGGCUGGGGGUUCUGACAAGUCCCGUUCCCGCUCACAUUUGGACUUUUCAGGGACUGUGCACAGAUGAUCCAGUCAGGUUUCUGUUCCCCACGGAGCAGUGCUCGUUAACGACACGGAGGCACCUGCCCGGCGGAAUUGCUCUUUUCAAGAGCCUGGCUAGAAGCAAACCAGGAGCUGGUGUUGCUGUUUUAAUCACCGUCUAGUCAGUAGACUUGAAAAGUGCCGUAAAAACUUUUUUUCCCGUUAAAAGACAUUCCCGAAGGCAGGCCCUGUGCAGCUGGCAAAUUCUAGUGACUUGACUCGAAGGACGCUUCUGACGCCGUCCCAACGGGGAGGCCACGACCCUCUAGAGAUGUCAGCGCUAGAGAGCUGCCGACGUUUUCAUGAGCCUCGAGCGGUCCCACUGUGGCACACGACUGAGCCGGAACGUGGUUUUCUAUCCGGUCUCAAACACCAAGCGUCUGUGGGUGUGACGUUGAUUCUCCCUGUUCGGGCUUCUCAUCUUUGUCUCAGAGAGCGGAUUCGCUUAAAACACAUCAGCACCCUGACAGGACGCGGGCUCCGGGAGAGCAGCGGGAGGCGUUGCCCUCCGGGCUCCCGUGGCCAUGGUGCCCCCCUCCCGGCCCUCGGUGCGGGGGGGGGGGGGCGCACGCGGGGCUGCUCUCCUCUCCUCUGUUCCUUUCCACCGGCUGUCGUGGCGCGGACACGGUCCUCGGUGGGACAAGGAAUCCUCUGGCCCUUUCUCUGAGCCUCUGUCUCGAAAGGUCUGGAGAACUCCUUGGAUGCCCACCCGCAGAAGCCAAGUCACCCGGACCCCGAGUGGCCCGGCCGGCGGUGGGUCCCCUGCAGCGGAGAGAGUUUGUGUUUACAGUUUUCUACCGUCCCCAAGGCAAGCAGGCACCUUGAUCUGGCGGCGCGCCGGGGCCUUGAACGCCAGAGACCAGAGGUCACGGUGGCGCUCCAGCUCCCCCCACCCCCCACCCCCCCCACCCCCCCCACCCCC